AGACCCGAAACCCGGUGAUCUAGCCAUGGGCAGGUUGAAGGUUGGGUAACACUAACUGGAGGACCGAACCGACUAAUGUUGAAAAAUUAGCGGAUGACCUGUGGCUGGGGGUGAAAGGCCAAUCAAACCGGGAGAUAGCUGGUUCUCCCCGAAAGCUAUUUAGGUAGCGCCUCGUGAAUUCAUCUCCGGGGGUAGAGCACUGUUUCGGCUAGGGGGCCAUCCCGGCUUACCAACCCGAUGCAAACUGCGAAUACCGGAGAAUGUUAUCACGGGAGACACACGGCGGGUGCUAACGUCCGUCGUGAAGAGGGAAACAACCCAGACCGCCAGCUAAGGUCCCAAAGUCAUGGUUAAGUGGGAAACGAUGUGGGAAGGCCCAGACAGCCAGGAUGUUGGCUUAGAAGCAGCCAUCAUUUAAAGAAAGCGUAAUAGCUCACUGGUCGAGUCGGCCUGCGCGGAAGAUGUAACGGGGCUAAACCAUGCACCGAAGCUGCGGCAGCGAACGUAUCACUUAAAGCGAUUCAGCGGGUUACGAUUGACGGAGCGAAGCGACGUCAAAGCGUAUACAAAGUCGAGUCGGUUUAAGGAUACGUUCGUUGGGUAGGGGAGCGUUCUGUAAGCCUGCGAAGGUGGCCUGUGAGGGUUGCUGGAGGUAUCAGAAGUGCGAAUGCUGACAUAAGUAAC
rnacentral:rRNA from 1 species